rnacentral:lncRNA from 1 species
AGGUCAAGCAGAAUAGGUAAAAAAAUAAAAAAUAAAACAAAAUACUAAAAAAAUUGAAAAAAAUUACAUUGUCAAAUUCCUCAUUCUCGGCAUUCUUCUUCAUCUUCUCGAGCCUCGCUCUCAUUUUCUGCACCAAAAAAAAUUGGUUGAAAUGGGACCACUAAAAUAUUGUUCUUCCAGAAAAUAUACCUGAUUUCAGAUACAGAAGAUGCAACAACAAAAAUACAACUUCAAUUAAAAAACACCUGCAACAAAAAAAUAAUCAGCAAAUUGAAUCCAGAGUAACUCGAAAUGGAAAGGAAAAACACGACAUCACCCAAAAAUAAGGUGGACAUUUCGGUUUAAUAAAAACAUGCAAGAAAGAAAACUUAUUCAUAACAAAAUGGAAUCCAAAAUAUAUCGCAGAUGAAGGGGAAAAAUGAUUUACCCACUGCCACAAAAUCGUCCUCCGAUGCGCUCUAAUGAAUAGGAUGGAUGCUGCAAUCAAAAGCUGAUAUAUAAGUGAACGUAUGUGGGAGUUAUGAAAAGAACGUGUGUGAGUGGGUUUAUAUCGUGGAGUAGGUUUUGUGCCUAGUGUGCCUAGCAGACAGUUUGGAAGUUUUUUAUUCCGACAAUUGUAUUCAAAUUUAAAGGGGAAAAAACGACGUGGAUUCAAAAAAGGAAAGCAAAAGAGAAAAAAAUCUGCAAAAAUAAGAAAUUAAUAAACUGCCCUAGGUUUAGGUUUAGGUUUUAGUUCAAAAUAUUUUCC